AGUGAACGCUGGCGGUAGGCCUAACACAUGCAAGUCGAACGGCAGCACAGUAAGAGCUUGCUCUUACGGGUGGCGAGUGGCGGACGGGUGAGGAAUACAUCGGAAUCUACUUUUUCGUGGGGGAUAACGUAGGGAAACUUACGCUAAUACCGCAUACGACCUACGGGUGAAAGCAGGGGAUCUUCGGACCUUGCGCGAUUGAAUGAGCCGAUGUGGGAUUAGCUAGUUGGCGGGGUAAAGGCCCACCCAGGCGACGAUCCGUAGCUGGUCUGAGAGGAGGGUCAGCCACACUGGAACUGAGACACGGUCCAGACUCCUACGGGACGCAGCAGUGGGGAAUGUUGGACAAUGGGGGGAAGCCUGAUCCAGCCAUACCGCGCGGGUGAAAGAGGCCUUCGGGUUGGAAAGCCCUUUUGUUGGGAAAGAAAAGCAGCAGGUUAAUACCCCGCUGUUCUGACGGUACCCAGUGAAUAAGCACCGGCUAACUUCGUG
rnacentral:rRNA from 1 species